GACGGAGGGGGCUAGCGUUGUCCGGAAUUACUGGGCGUAAAGCGCUCGUAGGCGGUCGCGUACGGCGGUGGUGAAAGCUCCCGGCUCAACUGGGAGAGGCCCGCCGCAACGGCGUGACUCGAGGGUGGUAGAGGCAAAUGGAAUUCCUGGUGUAGCGGUGAAAUGCGUAGAGAUCAGGAGGAACACCCGUGGCGAAGGCGGUUCGCUGGGCCACACCUGACGCUGAGGAGCGAAAGCUAGGGGAGUGAACGGGAUUAGAUACCCCGGUAAUCCUAGCCGUAAACGAUGGAUACUAGGUGUCAGCGGUAUCGACCCCGCUGGUGCCGGAGCUAACGCGUGAAGUAUCCCGCCUGGGGAGUACGGCCGCAAGGUUGAA
rnacentral:rRNA from 1 species